rnacentral:rRNA from 1 species
AGUGGUGGUAUGCUUUUGAAUGCUACUCACCAAUCUCAUCUCAUCUUAGAAGCUUAUCUGGAACGGCUCUGGUUAGUAUUGGGAUGGGAGGCUCCCUGGGAAUUCCAGGGGCUGUCAGCU